CACCGGCGGCUCGAGUGGUGGCCACUUUUAUUGGGUCUAAAGCGUCCGUAGCCGGGUUGGGAAGUCCUCCGGGAAAUCUGGCCGCUUAACGGUCAGAAUGCCGGAGGAUACUCCCAGCCUAGGGAGCGGGAGAGGCCGAGGGUAUUCCCGGAGUAGGGGUGAAAUCCUAUAAUCCCGGGAGGACCACCUGUGGCGAAGGCGCUCGGCUGGAACGCGUCCGACGGUGAGGGACGAAGGCCAGGGGAGCAAACCGG
rnacentral:rRNA from 1 species